CUUCUGCUUAAAAAUUCUCCCCUCCCCACGCUGCCCUGGCCGCCUCCUCAGCCUCUCCUGUGACUCCAUUAAACACCUCUUCCGAGAAGCCCUCCCUGACCAUGCGGCGGAGGGAGACCCUUCUGUCCCCGCUUCAGUGUGCUCUAGAGAAUGUGCAUUUGCGGCUCAAGGUACCUGAAACACCUGCAUUGAGACCCUUUUACCACGGCAUCUCUGCUUGAGGUGUUUUGGACCACACUGUGUGUAUUUAGAUCCCAAACCUGGGAUCAAGGACCUUAACACCUCCAAUUCUCAUGGGGCUGGACGUGAAAUCUCACUUCUGGGUCGUUUUCUCCAGAAGAACGCUGUGCGUUAAGGUGUGUCAGUCUAUUUCCUGGUCAGAGAGACUGAGGCCCCGCCGGCCUUAGCCUGGGCCGGUAAGGAGGUAGUGAAAGGCUCUCCAUUACUUCCCGGCCUCCACUUACCACAAACUUGGAGACUCUCCUCUCCUCGAUGCGGGCGGAAGCGAUCUCGAAGAGCAGUUUGACGUGCCUCCAGCGGCACUUGCGCGUCCUCCAGUAUUCCUGCAGCUCCCGCGUGGUCAUGCUGGAGUUGGAGCUCAGGCUGCUAUGGGCAUCUGCAAGGACCGCACUCUUAAGGACUAGCGCGGAUCAGUGCGCUUUGGGGUCCAGAGCUGGGGAGGAGGCUGGCUCUUCUGGGACGCGCCAUCGGAAUCCCGAAGAGUGGUGACUAUCCUCCUCCCCAUCCCUCCAGGUAGAAGCCCAGGAGGGCAUCUGCCAGCUAUGCCCACCCCCACCCCCGCCCUGCACCCAACCUGGCUGAAUCCGUCCUGCCACUGACAACCUGGAAGGGCCCACUGGCUCCAAAUGGCUUCUUGGAUGUGAAACGUGCCUCAUCCACGACCGGCCCUUGUGAAACGCCGGCGCUCCCGAAGAGCACGGAUGUGGCUGGUUGGUUUCCGCCCUCCCUAAGCUCUGCUUCCGUGGUCGCGGAUGGACAGGCUGAGCUAACGGGCCAGCGGAGGGUGGCGGGAGCUGUGAGGAUGCUGGGCUCCCAGCUCAGCUUGGCGGGCCCCUCCCUCCGGGGCAUCUGGCUUCCCAUACCCGCGGCUGUUUCCUGCACUUGCCACUCUGCCUUAAAUGCCUGGAAAAGUAAUACUGUGUUUCUUACACCUCC